rnacentral:snRNA from 1 species
AUACCUUUCUCGGCCUUUUGGCUAAGAUCAAGUGUAGUAUCUGUUCUUAUCAGUUUAAUAUCUGAUAUGUGAGCCAUCGACUCACACGAUAUUAACUCAAUUUUUUAAGGGGGAGAGUCCAUUAAGGUAGCUUGCUAUCUGGCCUCUCAAGCGUCGCCCAUGCGUUGCACUACUGCAUGGGCCAGGCGCACCCCGC